CCUUUUACACCCAUGAUAUCUUUUGACCCUGAAACAAGCCUAUUAAUACGCAGUGCACGUGUUGGUCAUCCUGUUUUAUGAAUGAGGAAGGAAGCUGGGGCCUGCAGACUGAAGUCACAAGGGAGUGACAGAACCAGGACUCAACAUCAUGUUUUUAAAAUUCGAAAUCUGAUGUGCUUAUUGCUGCUUCCCAGAGAGGUCACAGAGCCUCUACGACCAGUUCUGCUUCCCCACCGUGUGAUGUGGGGCAAGUGGCUGAAUCUCUCUGCGCCUCCUUAUUCUCGUCUGUACAAUGGACUCGUGUAAGGAUUACAUGAGCUGAUACGUGGAAAGCACACAGUAAGUGCUCUUUAAACGUUAGCUCUUGGGAGGGUGCCUGGGUGGCUCAUUCGGUUAAGCGUCCAACUUCAGCUCAGGUCAUGAUCUCUCGGUCCAUGAGUUCGAGCCCCGCAUCGGGCUCUGGGCUGACGGCUCAGAGCCUGGAGCCUGCUUCGGAUUCUGUGUCUCCCUCUCUCUCCGCCCCUCCCCCAGUCACACUCUGUCUCUGUGUCUCAAAAAAUGAAUAAUGAUCGGGCAUCUGGGCCACCCUUGAGGGCUGUAAGCUCAAGACACGGGCAGGUGGGCUCAGGGUGCCAGGCUGGGUGUCCAAUGGCGAAGAUGAACAACCAGCUCUUUUUUCAGGGGGCGGAGGGCUGAGAGGGGCCGGUUUGCCGAUUUCCAUGGUGAGUUCUCCCACUGAGACCAGUUUCGAGGAGCGGGGUCCUGGGGUCCAGCCAUGGGAGAGAGGCAGGCAGCAGUAAGGAAAAGGCCAAGGGAUGAGGCCACAGUCAGAGUUAGGAGCAUCUCAUCCUGGUCCCUGAGAGAGUCCACAGGAGUGCCAUGUGGCCUUGCACAUGUCAUUUUACGUCUUUGACCUCCAUGCACCUCAGUGGAAGAAAAAGAGCACGUGGCCUGACAGAGCUAGUGUGAAUCCAGGCCAGAGGAUAGGUUUUGAGCACUCACUCAAAACAUAAGAGAGUCCUAGAACUCUUUUAUGAGAGUCUAUAGAGCUCUCUCUGCCAAGUUCUGGGGUGCAGGGAUGAAUAAAAGAGGGUCAGUGCUGGGGAAGGGCAGGCGUGAAGGUUCUAGAACUGCAUCAGUGUGGCCAUAGCAACGAUUAGUAAGUACGGUGACUGCCUUGCCGUAUCUGAGCCUCACAAUUCAUCCCAACGGUCCGAGGACGGACUGUGGGCCAGAGGCUGGGAAACAUGGUGAACAAGAGACAAAGUCCCUGCCCUCCAGGAACUUACGUUUUCAGUGGUGGAGAUAGAUACCAGUCUUAAUGCAAACUGGAUAGAGCAGUAUAGCUUUGGUGUGAUGGAAGGAACGAAGCAGUGUCGAGAGAUGACCGGCUCAGGAACCGGUCCUGCCCUUUCGGAGUGAGCUGUCUAUCAGAAUCACCAUCAAGCUUUAAAAGUCUGAUGCCACAGCCCCAGCCAAACUCAGGGCUUCUUAUUUGAGCUUCGGGUACAACCUGGGCAUUGGGAGUGUUUCAAAAGAUUCCCAAGUGAUUUUAAUGACCUAGACACUGAGCUCCCUUAGAGCCAGGACUUUGAUUUUUUUCAACUUUUUAUCCCCGGAUCCUCCAUAAAUACGGGCAUCACAGCAUACGGAGGCAGACAGAGCAGGAGGAAAGAGCUGAUACCUGCGAAUGCCUGUAAUAAUCACGGGUGGCCCGUCACUGUUCUGAAUGCCGGACACGUAUCCAUUCAGCUGACACCUCAGUCCCUAGAGAGGUAGGACCAUGGUUAUCCCUCCUUUGACAGGUGAGGAAACCCCCACACCACGGAGUGGCGAAGCCUCGCCCAAGACAACGCAGCCCGUAGUGCUUCCCUGAGGCCACUCAGCCCCUGGGCUCUGGCACUGAUGUCUUAACAACCCUGCGUAGCACGUUGGGCCCCUGGAGAAGGACAGGUGAGUCUUCCUUUGUUCCUUCCUUUAUGUUCCUCUUAACAUGGGAAACCACUUUUGUCCUUGGGAUU